GAACAAGGUGAAUCUGACUAUUUAAUUAAAACAAAGAAUUGUGAUGGUCCCUGCGGAUGCUGACGCAAUUUGAUUUUUGCCCAGUGCUUUGAAUGUUAAAGUGAAGAAAUUCAACCAAACACGGGUAAACGGUGGGAGUAAAUAUGACUCUCUUAAGGUAUCUAAAUGCCUUGUCAUCUAAUUAGUGAUGCACAUGAAUGGAUUAACUAGAUUCCC
rnacentral:ncRNA from 1 species